AGUGAACGCUGGCGGUAGGCCUAACACAUGCAAGUCGAACGGCAGCACAGUAAGAGCUUGCUCUUACGGGUGGCGAGUGGCGGACGGGUGAGGAAUACAUCGGAAUCUACUUUUUCGUGGGGGAUAACGUAGGGAAACUUACGCUAAUACCGCAUACGACCUACGGGUGAAAGCAGGGGAUCUUCGGACCUUGCGCGAUUGAAUGAGCCGAUGUCGGAUUAGCUAGUUGGCGGGGUAAAGGCCCACCAAGGCGCCGAUCCGUAGCUGGUCUGAGAGGAUGGUCAGCCCCACUGGAACUGAGACACGGUCCAGACUCCGACGGGAGGCAGCAGUGGCGACUAUUGGACAAUGGGCGCAAGCCUGAUCCAGCCAUACCGCGUGGGUGAAGAAGGCCUUCGGGUUGUAAAGCCCUUUUGUUGGGAAAGAAAAGCAGCAGGUUAAUACCCCGCUGUUCUGACGGUACCCAAAGAAUAAGCACCGGCUAACUUCGU
rnacentral:rRNA from 1 species